rnacentral:rRNA from 1 species
UCAGGAUGAACGCUAGCUACAGGCUUAACACAUGCAAGUCGAGGGGCAGCAUUAUCGAAGCUUGCUUGAUAGAUGGCGACCGGCGCACGGGUGAGUAACGCGUAUCCAACCUUCCCAUCACUCAGGGAUAGCCCGCCGAAAGGCGAAUUAAUACCUGAUGGUCUCCUUUGCAGACAUCUAACGAGGAGUAAAGAUUCAUUGGUGAUGGAUGGGGAUGCGUCUGAUUAGGUAGUAGGCGGGGUAACGGCCCACCUAGCCGACGAUCAGUAGGGGUUCUGAGAGGAAGGUCCCCCACAUUGGAACUGAGACACGGUCCAAACUCCUACGGGAGGCAGCAGUGAGGAAUAUUGGUCAAUGGACGGAAGUCUGAACCAGCCAAGUAGCGUGCAGGAUGACGGCCCUAUGGGUUGUAAACUGCUUUUGUGCGGGAAUAAAGUAUGGGACGUGUCCCAUUUUGCAUGUACCGCACGAAUAAGGACCGGCUAAUUCCGUGCCAGCCGCCGC